rnacentral:rRNA from 1 species
UACGUAGGGUGCAAGCGUUAAUCGGAAUUACUGGGCGUAAAGCGUGCGCAGGCGGCUUUGCAAGACAGAUGUGAAAUCCCCGGGCUCAACCUGGGAACUGCAUUUGUGACUGCAUCGCUAGAGUACGGCAGAGGGGGAUGGAAUUCCGCGUGUAGCAGUGAAAUGCGUAGAUAUGCGGAGGAACACCGAUGGCGAAGGCAAUCCCCUGGGCCUGUACUGACGCUCAUGCACGAAAGCGUGGGGAGCAAACAGG